rnacentral:rRNA from 1 species
UACGUAGGUCCCGAGCGUUGUCCGGAUUUAUUGGGCGUAAAGCGAGCGCAGGUGGUUUAAUAAGUCAGAUGUAAAAGGCAGUGGCUCAACCAUUGUGUGCAUUGGAAACUGUUAGACUUGAGUGCAGUAGAGGAGAGUGGAACUCCAUGUGUAGCGGUGAAAUGCGUAGAUAUAUGGAGGAACACCGGUGGCGAAAGCGGCUCUCUGGACUGUAACUGACACUGAGGCUCGAAAGCGUGGGUAGCAAACAGG